GAACAUCAUUUACUUAAAAAAAAACUGCACUGAAUAUUAAGCCACAUAAAAUGUUUUUUAUGGAUUAUGUGGCCCAACAAAUAUGAGAAUUAUAAUAUUCAGCAAAAUUUUGUUUGCAAGUACAAUAUAUAAUAUCGACCCAGACACCACUGCUGCCAAAAUCAUCUACAAAGUUGGAAGAAAGAAAAUUCUGACACUAGAAAUUUUCAUGGGGCCAAGAUCACUCCACUGACUGGGGGAGUUAUCAACACUGCCAAAAAGAUUAUUUCUUUUCAAAUUUCCCAUGAAGAAGCAUUCUUGGUGGAAGACGAUCUGCAACUUUAAUCUGAGAAGACAGAACUCCACCAGUCCCUAUGGGGCCACCACGAGAGCCUGGUCUUGCUGUUCCAGGUGGCAUCUAAAUAAGAAACAAGAUUUCAGUUUUAAUAAACUAGAAAAAC